rnacentral:rRNA from 1 species
AGUGAACGCUGGCGGUAGGCCUAACACAUGCAAGUCGAACGGCAGCACAGUAAGAGCUUGCUCUUACGGGUGGCGAGUGGCGGACGGGUGAGGAAUACAUCGGAAUCUACUUUUUCUUGGGGGAUAACGUAGGGAAACUUACGCUAAUACCGCAUACGACCUACGGGUGAAAGCAGGGGAUCUUCGGACCUUGCGCGAUUGAAUGAGCCGAUGUCGGAUUAGCUAGUUGGCGGGGUAAAGGCCCACCAAGGCGACGAUCCGUAGCUGGUCUGAGAGGAUGAUCAGCCACACUGGAACUGAGACACGGUCCAGACUCCUGCGGGAGGCAGCAGUGGGGAAUAUUGGACAAUGGGCGCAAGCCUGAUCCAGCCAUACCGCGUGGGUGAAGAAGGCCUUCGGGUUGUAAAGCCCUUUUGUUGGGAAAGAAAAGCAGCAGGUUAAUACCCCGCUGUUCUGACGGUACCCAAAGAAUAAGCACCGGCUAACUUCGUG